AAAGAAGAAGAAAGAAAAGAAAAGAGUUUGUUUAUGCCUCUAGACACUAAUGACCGUGUCUAAAUUUCAAAAAUCAAAUGAACAGGUUUGGUUGGGUUUGUUCCUUUAUUGUUUGAAGGGAAUGGUUGUUAUUCAUCUAUUAUUGUGAUUGCGAAUGUAUUGCUGAAUAUUUGGCGUGCCUGAUUGUUUUCUAGGAUUCAGGGUUUACUUAAGCCUCCUCUUUUUUUUUUCUUUU
rnacentral:misc_RNA from 1 species